CAUCAGGUUCUUCCGUCCAUGGGAUUUUCAAGGCAAGAGUACCAGAGUGGGGUGCCAUUGCCUUCUCCGAGAUGCAGCAGAGAGACCCAGAAAGAGCUGCUGGUGAGACAGGUGAACAAUGUGGAAAGUGAUGACCCAGAUGGCAAAUGAAGAGAAGAUGUGAAGAGGCAGAGAUGGGCUCUGUCAGAUGAAGCUGAGCGAGAUGAGCAGUGAGGUGGAGGAUCUGGUCAGAUGGCGACUCAGGGUGCAGAGUGCAGGAAAUGGGGCCGAGCCUGACUGCAGUGGGCAGGGCAGAGAGGAGACAGGCAACCCUUUAGAGGAGUUCUGAUAAUGGGGGAGAAAGAAAAGCAGGAGGUGGGUGGGAGAACAAGGCAUAAACCAUGAUUCCAUUUAGCCUCACGAGUACUGAUUUGUGAAGAUAAAAGUUGCAUAGCUGCAUGCCACUUUGCACAGAUUACAGCUGUAUCACCUGUGGACGGUGGGACCCUACCUGACUGGUAUUCUGUACCUGGUACAGUGCCCAGCACCCUUCCAAAUUCAGGCAGCCUCAGUCAGCACUUCCUGUUGAGCCAUGGAUUCAAUGAUGAUAACACAGGUUCUUUCUACUGUUCUGCUGGAGCAGCGAGGCUAACACCACCUGCUGGACCCACUGUGAACGGAGAGCUUAUUACACCAAACAGUCAAGGUCAAUUUGUUAUAGGGUUCACAGAGAACUCUGGAUGCCUUGAGGUCUACAUUUAGGUCAGCGAUUUGCCCUGUGCUUAGCACAGAAGCCACAUCGCAUACACUCUAUGAACACUGGAUGUGAUGGCUAUUUAACACUGUCACAUGGUGGUCUUGCAGGUUGUUCAGACAGUGGCUUCCAAGGUUUCUCAUCACAAGAAAAAAACUAUCUCCCUUUUUAUUUUCUGUGUCUAUGUGAGAUGAUGGAUGUUUAAUAAACUUAUUGUGAUCAUCAUUUCAUAAUAUAAGGAAGUCAAAUCACUAUGCGGGCCACCUGAAAUGAAUACAUGGCUGUACAUCAAUUUUAUCUCAAUAAAGCUUAAUGUUGAAGGAAUAAAAGGA